UGCGUAGGCGGUCCGGUAAGUUGGGUGUGAAAUACCUCGGCUCAACCGAGGAAUUGCGCUCAAUACUGUCGGACUCGAGGGAGACAGAGGUGAGCGGAACUUAGGGUGGAGCGGUGAAAUGCGUUGAUAUCCUAAGGAACACCGGUAGCGAAAGCGGCUCACUGGGUCUUUUCUGACGCUGAUGCACGAAAGCUAGGGGAGCGAACG
rnacentral:rRNA from 1 species